rnacentral:rRNA from 1 species
AAAGUUCCCUUCGGGGAGCGAGUAGAGUGGCGCACGGGUGAGUAACACGUAGGUAAUCUACCUUUGGAUGGGGAAUAACAACCGGAAACGGUUGCUAAUACCGCAUAAUGCAGCGGCACCUAAUGGUGACAGUUGUUAAAGCGGGGGAUCGAAAGACCUCGCGUCUAAAGAGGAGCCUGCGGCGGAUUAGCUAGUUGGUAAGGUAAUGGCUUACCAAGGCGAUGAUCCGUAACCGGCCUGAGAGGGCGGUCGGUCACACUGACACUGACAUACGGGUCAGACUCCUACGGGAGGCAGCAGUCGGGAAUUUUGGGCAAUGGGCGAAAGCCUGACCCAGCAACGCCGCGUGAAGGAUGAAAUCCCUCGGGAUGUAAACUUCGCAAGAACGGGAAGAAUAAGUUGGUGUGAAUAUCACCAGCGAUGACGGUACCGUUUGUAAGCUCCGGCUAACUCCGUGCCAGCAGCCGCGGUAAUACGGGGGGAGCAAGCGUUGUUCGGAUUUACUGGGCGUAAAGGGCGCGUAGGCGGCCACUGCAAGUCGGUUGUGAAAUCUCCGGGCUUAACCCGGAAAGGUCAAUCGAUACUGCAGGGCUAGAGUGCAGAAGGGGCAACUGGAAUUCUCGGUGUAGCGGUGAAAUGCGUAGAUAUCGAGAGGAACACCUGCGGCGAAGGCGGGUUGCUGGGCUGACACUGACGCUGAAGCGCGAAAGCUAGGGGAGCGAACGGGAUUAGAUACCCCGGUAGUCCUAGCCUUAAACGAUGAAUGCUUGGUGUCUGGGGUUUUAUAGUCCCCGGGUGCCGUCGCUAACGCUUUAAGCAUU